UCAGACUCCAGUAGUUUAACAAGAUCUCCAGGAGAUUCAUGUGCAUAUUCAAUUCUGAGAGCUAUUGUUCCACUGAAUUCUAUCCCUAUCCAUAGAUUCUGUGACUGCUUGUGGGUAGAGUCCCAGUCACCAUAGAGAAAAGAAGGCCAGUUAUGCUGCAAGAGACGUGGAGUCUGAGGCCCGCAUGUAAGAAGUCCAGGCCAGCCAGCCGGCCGGAGAGAGAGAGACCACAUGGAGAGGCCCCAGGAGAUGACAAAGUGCUUGGACAAAGCAAUCCCAUGGAGGAACACUGAGUUGGUAUGAAGCUCAACAGGUAUGCCUGGUACAGAUUCCCAAUUCAGCCUUACAGAGUUUUAACAGAAAUACGAAGGGUGAAUGCCAGGCUCAUCGUGAUGUGAAGAUCAAGUGAGACAACGCACGUACAAAAUAUAGCACAAUGCAGAGCACAAACAGGAGCUGGGGGCAGCCUCUUCCCCCAGGGAACAGCAGGAAAAGGAAGAGCUACUGCUUCAGUGUGCACAGCUGGGACCUCCGGGUGCCACUUGUUGAAAGCGCUCUGUGGAAAGCUGUAGGGGGAGUCCCAACUGGUGUCCUUGGUAGUUUCUCCUAUCUCUGCAAGUCUCGAUCCCAAGAUGCUCUGAUAUUUAUCAUUUUCUUCCCAUGUCUUGAUUGAUCUGAAUCAAACACUGAACUAAAAUUGUAAGAUGAGAAAGACUCAUCUAUUUGCACCCCAUGCCCAGACCCCUCCAAGAAGAAUACCCGCGAUAAUGCCUACAGUGCUACCCGGAAACAGUAAGGGUGACUGUUAAAGAGAAGACUUGGACCAGGGGUACGACAGGGAUGUUGGCUUAGUUGCACCUGCUUUAUUUAAUGAGUAUAAUUUAUAUUCAGAACGGAAUCUCUGGCCAAUACAGCCCUUCUUAACACGACAAAGUUCCUUCCCACAUUAAUUAGGACACAUCGCUGGAAUCAGAAUCAUAAGGUAAGGGUGUGUGCGUGUGUACGUGACCAAACUGUGAUGACAACUACCCUCGCGAGCUAACGUCCUUCACUGUCAGUGAG